GGAGGACAGGACUGAGCAACUGGAGGGAAGGAAGGCCGCCACUUGGGUAAUGGAGGAGUAACGAAAUCUCGAAGGGGAUUUUCAGCCUUAAGUCUCAGAGACUUGAGAUGUGAACUUCUCAGCAGUGCUGAAACUAUCGAUAAAGAUGAUCUUGACCUGGAACUUAUAAAACUUCAAUGAAAUUAAAAAGCCACUUGGUGAACCCCUGUUCCAAUGCUGCCCUUCACACCCGUGACACCUGGAGGGGGAGCCUGCUACUGUCUGGGGAUGCUCAGCACCAGGAAUGAGACUGCAGAACUGGCACUGUGAGUGGCCUUUAGAAAGAAUUUCCCCAUCAGCCCUUAUAUAGGGCCAGGGAUUCAGCGCAGUGGCGCUGCACCUGCCUUAUAUAAUAAGUGGAAGAACGUAAUGUAAUUAAAUGCUGGACUAAUUUAAGCAACAAAAAGAAAAAUGGUAAUCUUGUUUAUGUGCUUCUCUACAAUGUAGCUGGGAUCAAGUUAACAGAUUCUGAGAAUGUUCAAUACUCUUACAAAUUUAGUGAGCAUUUCUAUGCCUGGAACUGUG